AGCCCAUAUGCUGAGUCCUGGGAUUUCUGGAACUUCUGAUCUCCUAUGGCUGAGGAGGGAAGGACAGUGAAGACUUCAGAAACUCAGAGCUAUGCUGUGUGUUUUGUUUUGCCUAGUUUUGGAUUUGGCCUCUCCUCCCAGUGCUUCACUUCUGAUCUCUCUGCAGAAAGAAACAUUUCAACAGAGAAUCCGCCCCCCGCCCCCCCCCAUGGAAACUGAGACAAUUAUCUUCCCAAAGUCCUGAACUCCCCUUCCUACUUCUGAAGGAACCCCUCUGUUCACAGCUGCUAAAGCUAGCCCGAAGUCCGGUUCCUUCCCCAGGCAGUUCUUUUUGGAUGUUGGAUGCACACCUUUCUAAGCAUUGUGGUCUCCAAAUCAUCUAUCCAUGAUGGAUGACAUGACCAUGAAUCUUUGCUUAAAUAUGGACUCCUGAAAUAUCAUAAAAUCCCAGAGCAUCAGAGCUGGACAAAGGCCAUCUGGAUCUUUUGUCUGAGGCUCAGAGAAGACAAGGACCUUAUUUAAGGUCACACAGUGAGUUAGCUGCAGAAUUAGGACUCAGGUUCUGUUCUGUAUUCCUCAGGUCAUUGAAUCAAAGGCUGAAUUCCAUUCCUUUACAUGGCACUGGAUGCCCCACACGAUGGAGGACCAUCUUGGCAGAGCACAAUGUCAGGUUACAUAUCCAUGGAAAGCUGUGGGCAUCUUGAACCUCACUUGGAUUUGAACCCAUAUGGAGUUCCUGCCUCCUCUCUCGAGGAAGCAUCAACUGAAGAAGCCACAGGGGAUUUGCC